ACACCGUUGGUGAAACGGUAUCAUGCAUCGUUGCCAUCAGGGAUUUUCGAUGCGGCAGGGGUUCGACUCCCCUACGGUGUA
rnacentral:tRNA from 1 species